AGAGUUUGAUUAUGGCUCAGAACGAACGCUGGCGGCAGGUCUUAGGCAUGCAAGUCGAACGGGUGUAGCAAUACAUCAGUGGCGCACGAGUGAGUAACGCGUGGGAAGCUACCCAGUCACGGGGGAAUAACGUUUGGAAACGAACGCUAAUACCGCAUACGCCCGAAAGGGGAAAGAUUUAUCGGUGAUGGAUGUGCCCGCGUUGGAUUAGCUUGUUGGUGGGGUAACGGCCUACCAAGGCGAUGAUCCAUAGCUGGUCUGGGAGGACGAUCAGCCACGCUGGGACUGAGACACGGCCCAGACUCCUACGGGAGGCAGCAGCUAAGAAUAUUGGACAAUGGGGGAAACCCUGAUCCAGCCCAUGCCGCGUGAAUGAAGAAGGCCUUCGGGUUGUAAAGUUCUUUUAGUAGUGAAGAUGAUGACAGUAGCUACAGAAAAAGCACCGGCUAACUUCGUGCCAGCAGCCGC
rnacentral:rRNA from 1 species